rnacentral:rRNA from 1 species
UACGUAGGGGGCUAGCGUUGUCCGGAAUCAUUGGGCGUAAAGCGCGUGUAGGCGGUCCGAUAAGUCCGCUGUGAAAGUCGAGGGCUCAACCCUCGAAUGCCGGUGGAUACUGUCGGGCUUGAGUACGGGAGAGGCGAGUGGAAUUCCUGGUGUAGCGGUGAAAUGCGCAGAUAUCAGGAGGAACACUGAUUGCGAAGGCAGCUCGCUGGAACGUUACUGACGCUGAGACGCGAAAGCGUGGGGAGCAAACAGG